CACUGGGGAAAGGGCACAAUGGACAAAGGUGGUAGUCACUUUGAAGGGGAAAGUGGCAGGUCACUUCCUGGAACUUGGUUCCAACAAUGGCGCUGGACCCCCCGCAUCCCCUGGAGGGCAGGAACUGGAUGCUGUCUCCCGCAGUCUCCACACUGGACCAUGUUUCUCACCAGCCCUCAGCCAGGCGCACAGCAGCAGGGGCGCUCAGCAGCCACUCUGCCUUGGUGCUUUCACGAGGUCCUCGGUCAUCCCUGUCAGGCCCAGGCUGCAUGGCAGGCAGAGCACCCGCUGACAAGACAGGCGGCCAGCAGCCGCUCAGGACGCACAGCUGCCUGACUGCCCAGAUUGCUGUACUCAAAUCCACCGUCACCCUGCUCCAGGCCUCGGCAGGGUCAAAGCCACCAGCCUUCACCCCUCUCAGCUCUCUGGCCCAGCCACGUACCACUCUCCCUCUACCUGGACGGGCACCUGCUGGGACCCCAUCAAGAUCAGUAGAGGGAGUGGAAGUAGCUGCAUCUGUCGAGUGUCGCAUGGUGCUUGGCGUUGAGCUGGGCAUACCUGCUCACACCAUGAUCUGAUUUGCUUCUCACCACCACCUGGCAAGGUGGACACCACUGCCCUUUGGGGCUCCCAGAGUAGCAGACAGAAAGUUCCACAGCUACCACCAAAUAGAGCAAAGAGACUGUGCUGGUCCCAAAGUGUUCUUCCCCUCUACUGCAAGCUGCUCCUCCACCUGCUGCCAGGACCCCUGGCUAGCCCAGGAGAGGGCCCGUAAAUGAAGGAACACUGGAAAAGGUCUGAGGAGUCGCUGCAACCUCACCACCGCCCCCACGCUGGCUUCCUCUCUCUGCUUCCAGCAUAAGAAAAGUGCCCAACUAUACCAGGCACACCCUUGCCUGUGCCUUCCACACACCAAACCCUGCUCUGAGUGCUUUAGGGGCAUUUGCACAUUUAACCCACCCAACAGCACCAAGAAAGUGGCACAGUUCUGA
rnacentral:lncRNA from 1 species